rnacentral:lncRNA from 1 species
AGUGAGUGACUUCACUUUACAUCUCCCGAUAGGCCUUAAGGUGAAUAAAGAUCAAUAAAGGUAUCAUGACUUUCAAACUACUCACCAGGCUCUGUAUCUUUCACAAUGGCUGCUUUAGCGGGCUAAAAAAGGGCCAGUUUACUCCUGCCGGGAGAACACACACGCAGAGGUUGGAUUUCGAGCGAGACAAGUCACACACAGGUCUAUCAAUCCAAUCCGAAGCCACCAACACGGUAUCGGGGCCAACCACUCCCUCCCUGGAAGAAGGGAGUGUCAAACCACUCGAUCUUAGGAAGAGGGCAAGAUGACAGCUCUGCAAAAAGGGGCUUUCGCCCAUUUAUAAAUUUCGUGCUUGUAACUGCUAUAUCCUGGGUGUCAAAUCCGUCCACUGGCAGUAGUGAUCUAUAUCCUUCUAUCUAUCCCAUUUUCAUGGCGUAAAAGAAAAGAAUAUAGCCAGUUUCUCCUUCAUCAAAAUAGGCCGUUUACCUGUCCUCUCCUCUUCGUAACUUCGUCAAUGGAGGAUAGCUCUUUCCUAGUGAUAAUCUAUUCUUAACACUAACGGUUUCCUCCAAGUUGCCCCAUCCUGUGUCUUUAAGAAUAGCCUGCUUGAGGGGCCUGAAAAGCCACCCGCUAACUUGGUGGAUGCGGAAUCCAAUGCCGGUUAUUUCAGGGAGUUCUAUCGCAUUUUCUUCAACGGAAUAGAAGAGAAGAUGGAAUCAAGGUCAAUAUCAACCAAAGGGAGUUGAAUGUAUCCUUUAUUGACUCUUCUGACACCUGAAGGUACACACCAGAGAGAGAAAAGGUGCAUUUCAACUCCCCCACUCUCAACUCCCUCACUAUCAAUUGUCCACUUUCCAUUAUCCAGGUCCAUCUCCAUUAUCAGGGACAAAUGGGGUAUAUAGAAGUUAACAUAGCUUUUUAUGCUGAGGUGGAUUGAACCUCUCUGAAAGAUGAACCCAAAGAGAGCUCUAACGCACUACUAUAAUAUGUUAAUAAUCGAGCGCAUCCCUUAGGACGAGCAGCCCUUGAGUGGGAAACUCCAAGCUCUGUCAUCUUCGCAUUCGUCUAGAAAACAUCUUCUUGCUCAUCAAGAUUGAACCAAUGAUAAGCUUUGAAGAUCUACAACGGAGAGUGCUCCAUUUGGUUCAUGCAAUAUGAAAUUCCGUGGGAAUGAUUGUCAAUACUAGACAGGCUCUUUGAUCGAAUGGGUGAUAUAGCUUAGUAUAAACAAAUCAAAGCUAUUCGUCUAGUCUACUCCAAGCGUAGCCUAAGCAGUAGAGGAGAGGGAUCACCCGGUAACAGUAUGGCAAGGGGUGAAAGCCCGAUGAAAGGCUCAAAGUCUCCCUGCAGAUAAAAAGAUUGAAAGAUUGGUAGUGGAGUUUGAAUCUCAGUAGUGUUUAUCGAAGAAGUCCCGUUAAAGGACCCUCCUUUGAUCCCGAUUCGAGAUGAAGAAUCAUCCUCUAUCUAUAGACAUUAACAGAAUGCGUUCCCUGUAGACGUUAGAGAAGACUGUCGAACCCCCUGGGGAACUACUUGUUGAUCCGCCCCUCUCCCAUUGUCCAAGAUUCCCAGGUGUUGAAAGCACAUCCAGCAUUUGAAUAGGGUUGAAGAUAUCCCCUAUAGAGACUUAGGCAUAGAGACUGAAGCAUAGGGCCUUAAGCAACCUUUCGGAAAAGAAGAUGUAUCAAGGUAGACUGAAACUACAGAUAUUGAAUGAAAGGCUCCGGGUACAUUGUGAAUAGGCGCAGUUUUACUAUUCAUUCGGGGAAGACGCGUAUAGCACCGGUCAGAAGAUCAAAGAGGACUCACCCCCAGAAGGCGAAGUCGCAGGUUCAUAAAUAGGUGUAUUACAUAGAUCCCUUCUUUCACUUAAAAGAAAGAACAUUAGCCCGGGAAGACUGACUGAAUCGCUUUCUGCUUUUCAGGCUGCCUUUCCCCUCUUUUCAGUUGUUAGAGGUUCGUUCCCCCUUUUGUAUGAUCGAUCUGGGCAACAAGCAAUUUCUUUCGCUCCAUCAUUGUUAUGCUCACGUAGAUUUGUAAGCUAAGCUAAGUUUGCUUCAUUGAUAUCCUUGAAAAGGCUUGAUAUAAAAGGAAUUCGAUUUGGACACUAACUGAAUCGUUCCUGAAUGAAUGAACCUAUAGGGGAGUGCCGGACUCAAGAGAUCACGUCCCGCAGACAGAUGGAUCCGGAACUGAGCAUACGCCCUAACUGAGCAGACGGGUUUGAGGAGCAGACGGAUGGAGAUGGAUCCGGAACUGAGCAUACGCCUGCUGGAGAGUUCUUUACAAUCAUUUCCAUCUUUUUCCUUCGGCCUGAAUGAAUUACUUUUUGGGUCUGUUAUGCCGGUUCUGGACUGAGCAAGGAAGGUGGAGUACGUGUUGUCGGCCCAGGGAUGAUAGCAGUUGGUGGAGGAUGGACCCUCUGUUGGUGGAUGUAAUGGACCCUCUGGAAUCUCAUGCGUGCGGAAUAGCACUUUUUUCUGUACGCGAAGACUCGUAUCUUCUAUGCGAUUGAGAAAAUCAUAGCUUGGUUUAUGUGCUACCCCUUUUUGUAGUUUUCUGCUUGCUAUUCCUUCAAACGAGCAGCAAAGCACUUUCCAAACAAAUGCGGAUCCUACUGAUGCGAUAGUGCCAGUUCCCGCACUCCAGAAGCAAGCAGUUUAUACGAGAGAAGAGACAAGGUUAGCUUUGCUUUCCUUUCCGACAGAUAGAGAUCACGCAGAUUUACAGGAGACGGGAGACUUUCCAGUGUCCGGAUGACCUAUUGCGGAUUCGAUACUCAAAGAAGGCCUAGAAGCGAAUAGCCCACUUGAGCAAUUCGCCAUUCUCCCACCGAUUCCUCUUCAUAUCAGAAGGCCUAGAUGCGUUAUUAUCAUUACCAGAUUCCAUUCAAAGAAAGAAUCACUUAGACAAAGACCUUACCUUAAAAGUGAAGAUAAGCCACGAAGUGCCCGGUUGUGCCUUGCCUAUGCAUGCGUAAAGCAGAAUGCGAAAGAGAGGCAUGCGGUAACCCAAUGAUGAUGGAUCAGAUACCAGAAUCACCUCCUUUUUCCAUACAUAUCAAACGGGAAAUUCGCAGUGGACCCUUGUACUCCCUAACUCAGUGGCCGGUUCGAUCAUCUAGUAGGGUUCAUUAGUUUCCGGUACUGCUUGCUGAGAUCAGCAUAAAAGAUAGGGAUCGUAUGUAGGGAUGUCUCAAC